ACAGCCAUGUCGCGUUGAAAUACCGAUUCUCGUACGAUCACAGAAGUUAAGCAACGUUGAGCCUGGUCAGUAUCUAGAUGGGUGACCACUUGGAAAUACCAGGUGGUGUA